rnacentral:tRNA from 1 species
GGCGAGGUGGCAGAGCGGCCUAAUGCGGGCGCCUUGAAAGCGUCUGAGGGAAACCUCCGGGGGUUCAAAUCCCUCCCUCGCCGCCA